CCUACGGGGGGCAGCAGUGAGGAAUAUUUGUCAAUGGACGAAAGCCUGAACCAGCCAAGUAGCGUGAAGGAUGACUGCCCUACGGGUUGUAAACUUCUUUUAUAUGGGAAUAAAACAGGGUAUGCAUACCCUCUUGUAUGUACCAUAUGAAUAAGGAUCGGCGAACUCCGUGCCAGCAGCCGCGGUAAUACGGAGGGUCCGAGCGUUAUCCGGAUUUAUUGGGUUUAAAGGGAGCGUAGGUGGAUUGUUAAGUCAGUUGUGAAAGUUGGGGGCUCAACCGGAAAAUUGCAGAUGAAACUGGCAGUCUUGAGUACAGUAGAGGUGGGCGGAAUUCGUGGUGUAGCGGUGAAAUGCGUAGAUAUCACGAAGAACUCCGAUUGCGAAGGCAGCUCACUGGACUGCAACUGACGCUGAUGCUCGAAAGUGUGGGUAUCGAACAGGAUUAGAUACCCCAGUAGUC
rnacentral:rRNA from 1 species